rnacentral:misc_RNA from 1 species
GAUGAAGAACGUAGCGAAAUGCGAUAAGUAAUGCGAAUUGCAGAAUUCAGUGAGUCAUCGAAUCUUUGAACGCACAUUGCGCCCCCUGGUAUUCCGGGGGGCAUGCCUGUCCGAGCGUCAUUGCUGCCCUCAAGCACGGCUUGUGUGUUGGGCCCCGUCCUCCGAUCCCGGGGGACGGGCCCGAAAGGCAGCGGCGGCACCGCGUCCGGUCCUCGAGCGUAUGGGGCUUUGUCACCCGCUCUGUAGGCCCGGCCGGCGCUUGCCGAUCAACCCAAAUUUUUAUCCAGGUUGACCUCGGAUCAGGUAGGGAUACCCGCUGAACUUAAGCAUAUCAAUAAGCGGAGGA